GGUCAAUGAUGAGUUGGCAUGUAUUCUGAAUUUAAAGUUGAUUAUUACUACUUUAGCUCUAGAAUUACUCUGAGACCUG
ensembl:snoRNA SNORD45C small nucleolar RNA, C/D box 45C